rfam:Giardia lamblia ATCC 50803 SC_573 genomic scaffold, whole genome shotgun sequence.
GGGAGCAUGGUCUAGCGGUAUGAUUCUCCGUUCGGGUCGGAGAGGUUCCGGGUUCGACUCCCGGUGCUCCCC